CUUCUAUUUAUCUAGGAAAGUUAAGAUGUAGACAGCUUCGUGUCAAGCAAAGACCCAAAAGAAUUGCCAUUUCUUGUAAUGGUUGUCUGGCGACCGUUGAAUGCAAUUUCUCAAAUCUUUAUUGUCGCUGACUUGCUGGUACUUUUUCGAGUUAGGGUUGUAAUUGUGGAACUGAUGGCAUGAACUCACAUUCUCUUUUCGAGAGGAGGUUAAUUAAUGAAAUUAGGAAUGCCGACAUAUACUAAGUAAUAUGAACUGAAUAAAAUCUGAACUCAGUAGGAGAGGGCAAUUGCUCUUGUAUUGUAUAUACAGUAGGUAUCUUUAUAACUGAUUGCAGUAUUUGCAUCAGUUUGGUUCGAAUGUUGCAUCUUUACUCUGAACGGAGUGCGUACAACCAUGCAUGCAUGUAUUGUAGGUCAAAAUCACUUUGUUUGUUACUACUGUGUAUGCUAAUUUUAAUUUGUUCUAUAUAUUGGUAGAAUACAUUAUUUUCACUGACACAGUUGUGUUGAGAUGACUAUAUAGUAUCUGACUUUAUAUUAUUUCUUUCAGUCAUGGCCUUACUCGGAACAAUGAGUAAAAAGGUACUCAGCUCGCUGAGAAAAAGGAGAAUGUUUAAAGAUUUGAGUAGUUUUGUACUCGUUGUUUUGAGUAAGGCACUUCUUUUACUCACUGUGAGUAAAUAUCGCACUUUACUCACGUUUUAGGUGUCACUGGGAAUGGAUUUUGGUUUACUCAGAAACUUGAGUAAAAUUUUACUCAUUGUUUUGCGUAAAACCUGCAGUUUACUCACUGUGAGUAAAAAUCGCAUUUUACUCACGUUUUAGAUGUCACUGUGAAUGCAUUUUGUUUUACACAGAAAUUUGAGUAAAAUUUUACUCAUUGUUUUGCGUAGAACCGGUAGUUUACUCACAGUGAGUAAAAAUCGCACUUUACUCACGUUUUAGGUGUCACUGUGAAUGCAUUUUGUUUUACUCAGAAAUUUGAGUUAUUUUUACUCAAACUUUGUGUGUCACUGUGACUGCAUUUUUUUACUCAAAUAUUUGAGUUGAUUUUACGCAAGGAUUUUUUGCAGUG